rnacentral:lncRNA from 1 species
AUUUUUAUUCAUAUUUGAUCAUUCUCUUGAAUUCCUAUGUAUUAAAUUAGUCCCACAUAUAUAAUACACAUGCAGUAAAAAUAGUUUUAAGGGUUAGGGUAGAAAUAAUGGGGGUUACAAACAACCUGAAGUCAUACAAGUCAAAGUAAAAUUAUAACGAUUUAACAUGAAUUUCUAAUCUGAUUUUUGGGAGGGGUUCCUAAGGCACAUAGGCAGCAGCGGCAGGUUUUGGGUAGAACCAUAAUGGCAUAUUCUUAUGUUAUUCUACAUGGAGGGUGGGUCAAGAGGGAAGAGCACAUCCACCUUGCUCUUCACAGUAGGUAGUGGACCUUAAGUUCCGUCCGGGUUUGUAAUUCCGAUCCCAGUUCCCGUAAAUCUGUCUACGAUUUUGUUAGGUGACGGAGUUCGUUUUCGCAGCACACCACCCACCCCAUUUUCCCUGAGCCUAGCCGGCAAACUUUUAGUAGACAGAGAGUGCUGACGAGACGACACUUCCCGUGUCCGUUACAUAAUAAAUGGCGCCCAACGUGGGGCCCGAAUGGUCCGUUUUCCCCAAUAACCUUCCCCAAUCCCUUCCGCAACCCAAUAUUGAUCCAAAUUUUAAAGUAGUUCAGUUUUUGUGUUAUAUAUCCAGCUCGGAACCGCUGGGAAUCUGAUCAUUGUCGGACCCAGACCAGUGGAUAUAUUGCAUAGAAGAAGAUCACAGUAGACUUCAUUAUAUCAUUUCAUCAGGAUACUAGGAACGAUAGUUCUGAGUAAAUUGGUUCUAUACCUAGUAGCGAAGAUGAAUGACCUUUAUUCUCUCGAGAUUAGUUGAGACUUGUUCAGACUGGAGAAUUCGGUCCUGUUCCUCCUUUUCUCGAAAGGAUCAUCAACCAAAUUUUCUUUUCUUUCUUUCUGCUUACGGACUUAAGGUUAUAACAACCGAAGACAUUCCUUCUGCUGUGCUGGUGCCUGGUAGGAGACCCUCCCAAUCAUUGCCCAUAUUUUCGAAUUAAGAAUAAAAAAAAAAAAAAAUCUUUCUGGUCUUAAAGACCAUAUCGUUAUAUAACUUAUAUCGUUUUUCCUUAAUCAUAAUUUGUUACAAUGGCGGUAAGGCGAAUAAUUGACAAUAUAAAUGUUUUUCUCGGCGAGGUAGUCGUACACUGAACUAUAUGCAAUGAUACUAGCCAGGACACCGACAUUGUAGAAACCCAUUGCAAACACAAAUACCACAGAUCGUGUUUAUCGGAUUGGUUGACAUCCAAUGAGACAUGCCCGAUUUGUAGGCAGCUGUGUUCGUUACCGUUGCGUUCACAAUCUCAAUCGAAUUUACAGAGUGGGGAAAAUGCCGCGGAAAGGGUUAACCGAUCGAUUAAUGCCGCGCUCAGAGCGUACGUUCGUACUGACCAUCGUUAAUGGGAUGUGUUCCUUAGUAGCAUAAACUGUUCGUUGAGAAAAUCAAUACACCAAUCAGUUGGCAUGGCACCAUAUUUCGUGGUCUUUGGUCAGCACAUGAUUUCACAUGGCCAAGAUUACAAAAUGUUGCGAGAAGUCGAAUUACUCAACGAGGGCGAGGGAAAAUUGUCAAGAGCUGACGAAUUUCAGAAGAUUCGCUCAAACAUCGAGAAACACCUGACAAAAGCUUACAAGAGAAAUCAACGCACUUACGACCUGAGAUCCAAGCCUCGUUCGUUUGGGUAGGUCAAGAAGUAAUAAAGAGAGCGUCCAAUAACGUUAACGCUAAACUAGCUCCAGUUGGAGUGAAGGCUCGCGUAAAGCAGAAAUGUGGCCAACUGAUUUAUCUACUGGAAGACUUGAACGGUAAAGAGCUGGGGAAAUUGUACAUUAAGGAUAUUUGGUAGCUAGAGACAAAAGUCUGCACCCUUCCUUGUUGUUGUUUCAGUUUUAUCUUUGGUCAAAACCCUAAGAUAAAAUGUGGCGGGGGGGUGUGAAGGUUGCAGACCAAAAACAAAAGGUUAGAAUGUCUGUUUUUUUUUGGGGAACAGUCUUCUAAUUUUAUCAAGAAAAUAUUGAACCUCCCCCACUGUACGCAUUCCAGCGAGAGCCCACAUGCAAGAUCAGAAGCUGUUAUCUUGAAAAGCUCUCUCUUUCGAAAUUGCAUGUGCGAGCACCGUUCACAUGUGAGCUUUUCUCUCUGCAAACAUAGCUUACGGCUAGCCCUUCGAGAACCUUCUUAGCUCUCUCAUACACAGCUUUUGGAGGGGUAAAANUAGGCAGCAGCGGCAGGUCUUGGGUAGAACCAUAAUGGCAUAUUCUUAUGUUAUUCUACAUGGAGGGUGGGUCAAGAGGGAAGAGCACAACCACCUUGCUCUUCACAGUAGGUAGUGGACCUUAAGUUCCGUCCGGGUUUGUAAUUCCGAUCCCAGUCCCGUAAAUCUGUCUACGAUUUUGUUAGGUGACGGAGUUCGUUUACGCAGCACAACACCCACCCCAUUUUCCCUGAGCCUAGCCGGCAAACUUUUAGUAGACAGAGAGUGCUGACGAGACGACACUUCCCGUGUCCGUU